UACGGGGGGGGCAAGCGUUGUUCGGAAUUACUGGGCGUAAAGGGCUCGUAGGCGGCCAACUAAGUCAGACGUGAAAUCCCUCGGCUUAACCGGGGAACUGCAUCUGAUACUGGAUGGCUUGAGUUCGGGAGAGGGGUGCGGAAUUCCAGGUGUAGCGGUGAAAUGCGUAGAUAUCUGGAGGAACACCGGUGGCGAAGGCGGCAUCCUGGACCGACACUGACGCUGAGGAGCGAAAGCGUGGGGAGCAAACAGG
rnacentral:rRNA from 1 species